UAAGGAAUAUUGGUCAAUGGACGAAAGUCUGAACCAGCCAUGCCGCGUGAGGGAUGAAGGUCCUCUGGAUUGUAAACCUCUUUUAUCUGUGAAUAAACGUCCUUUUUCUAAGGGAUUUGAAGGUAAUAGAUGAAUAAGCACCGGCUAACUCCGUGCCAGCAGCCGCGGUAAUACGGAGGGUGCAAGCGUUAUCCGGAUUUACUGGGUUUAAAGGGUGCGUAGGUGGGUUGGGAAGUCAGUGGUGAAAUACUAUAGCUUAACUAUGGAACUGCCAUUGAUACUAUCAAUCUUGAAUGCAGUGGAGGCAGGCGGAAUGCGUCAUGUAGCGGUGAAAUGCUUAGAUAUGACGCAGAACACCAAUUGCGAAGGCAGCUUGCUACACUGCGAUUGACACUGAGGCACGAAAGCGUGGGGAUCAAACAG
rnacentral:rRNA from 1 species